ACAUUUUCAACGGCUGGAUGGCUGAAGAAGGAAUCCAGAGUCUGGCCUCCACCCUCUGAGACGCCGCUCCCCUCAGCAGCAGGUCGGGUUUUCAUAGUUCUGAGCAACAACCCCAGACUUGAGCUGUGAAGCUGAAGGUGAUGACUGGAAAAGAAAAGAUGAGAGCCAAAAGUUCCCAAACCAAUAAUCUACUCUCCACAACUAUGCCUUGAGAUCUGG